UCUCUCUCUCUCUCUAUACCCUUUUGCUUCCUCAUCUGUACUCUCAAAAACCAGAUCGAAAAACACACAAAACACAAAACAACCAAAUCUGAAUCGGACCUUCGCCAUCCAUCUUCGCCAUCCUUCUCUCUCAGCCUCUCACAGCUGCUUCAUUUUCUUUGAAUUCCAAUCUAGGCCCAAAAUCUGUAAUACUCAAAUCAAAAACCUAACACCUCAGCCCCAAUUACCUCCUCCGAUCUCAAAACCAAACACAAACCUCACGCUCUUUUUCUCUCUACCCUCUCCCUCGCCCUCUCUGCCUUCUCUCCCAUCAACAACUACGUCUUCGACUGCAGCUCCACCGUGGACUCCACCUUCGACGAUGGCCGCCGCUUCAUUCCGGACUCGUCCACUUCAGCUCGCUCAAUUUCACUCCGAAACCAAAACCCCAAUCCCAAUUCCCCCCAAAUUUACCAAACUGCUAAGGUUUUCCGGUGGCCGUCCUGGGCACCCACAUGGCUCUUCAUAUAUAUUUGGACAACCUUUUUUCUGGUAGUGCAUCCCCUAUAGUUUAGCCCCUCUGUUGGAGAAAAGUGCCACACUAUUCAGACCCAAAUUAAUAGUUGCUGGUGCCAGUGCUUGUGCACGUUUGUACGACUAUGCACACAUACGCAAGGUCUGUGAUAAGUAGAAAGCUAUUUUGUUAGCUGAUAUGGCACACAUCAGUGGAUUGGUUGCGGCAGGUGUUAUUCCAUCUCCUUUUGAGUAUGCAGAUAUUGUUACAACCACAACUCACAAGUCACUUCGUGGCCCUCGUGGGGCUAUGAUCUUCUUCAGGAAGGGGGUCAAAAAUGUAAACAAGCAAGGACAAGAAGUUAUGUAUGACUAUGAAGACAAAAUUAAUUAGGUUGUCUUUCCUGGACUCCAAGGUGGUCCACACAAUCACACCAUAGCUGGGUUAGCAGUUGCACUCAAGCAGGCCACAACUCCAGAGUUCAAAGCUUACCAAGAACAAGUUCUCAGUAAUUCCGCAAAAUUUGCAGAGAGCUUGCUAGAGAAGGGCUAUGAUCUUGUCUCUGGUGGAACUGACAACCAUUUAGUGUUGGUAAAUUUGAGGGACAAGGUAAAAGGAGAUUCUUCCUUCCUAUUAUUGUUUGUUCUUCGUUUUCUUUUCUGCAUCAGGGAGGUUUAUUUGGACCAAGUAUAUUCUUUCUGCUUGUUAGACAAAAUCCUAGGGCCUUGGGAAUGAUUAUGCCAUGGUUACUUAAAGAUAAUAUUACUGGACUGAACAACUCCAAAAGAGAGUGUAUUGAACAACUCCAUGAUUAACACUGGCUAUCAAUAUCAAUUUAUAGGUAUGUCUUGAGUUUAACUGUAUUACUGUUCUGCUACAUGGGUUGGUUCCUUGAGCUGUAUAUAUACCAAGGUACUCUGGCUGCGCCUAAAUGAAAUCUUGCAAUUGUACUUCAUAUUUUAGCUUGAAUAUACCUGUAAAGUACCUAUAGAUGUUCCUCCAUGAAGCCACAUAAUUUGAUUUAUAUGAUUGAAUUUCAAUGUUUGAUGAUUUGUUAGUUUAGGUGCAAUUGACUCUUUUCAUGUGACUAAGCAUCUUUCUUGAUUAGGUACCUAAGCUCUAAACUCCAAUGAACUGGCUUUCUUCCUGUAUUCUCAUAUUGAAGCAAGGAAAUGGCCACUUGAAAGUUUUGUUGAAGGGAUCUCGAGAGCAGAUGAGUUGGUGCUCUAUUGAUGACUUUCCCCGCACCAGAAUAUACUCACUCCAAGCUUCAGUGAUUUGCAUUUGCUAACUCUUAGUCUGGUGCUCUAUUUGUGCAUAUGUAUAUGAUCUACAAAUAAACUAAUUGUUUUUUAUUCAAGGAAUAAAAAAAAAUCUGGAAUGACA